CUAAGUUUGAUGGCGACCGGCGCACGGGUGAGUAACACGUAUCCAACCUGCCGAUGACUCGGGGAUAGCCUUUCGAAAGAAAGAUUAAUACCCGAUGGCAUAGUUCUUCCGCAUGGUAGAACUAUUAAAGGAUUUCGGUCAUCGAUGGGGAUGCGUUCCAUUAGGUUGUUGGCGGGGUAACGGCCCACCAAGCCUUCGAUGGAUAGGGGUUCUGAGAGGAAGGUCCCCCACAUUGGAACUGAGACACGGUCCAAACUCCUACGGGAGGCAGCAUG
rnacentral:rRNA from 1 species